AGAGUACGUGAAACCGUUUAGGGGUAAACCUGAGAAACCCGAAAAGUCGAAGGGAGAAAUUCACCGCGGUUCGACGAAGGUGACAAUUCGACGAGUGACUGCGCUCUUCGGACGCGCGGCGCCGUCGUUUCGUCUAACCGACGACGAACGCGUGCACUUUUCUCCCGGUAGGACGUCGCGAUCCGUUGGGCGUCGGUCUACGGCUGACGGUGGAGACCGCGAGUCGUUUUUCGGAACGUACGCGCGGACCCGUCUGCACCCCGACCGACUCGCUCGACGGUAUACGAACGGUUUUGGGCCGCUUUCAAAGCGUCCGGUCGUCCUCGGACAGACCAGAAACCGAUCUGCGACGCUAUAGCUUUGGGUAAUUUCAGG
rnacentral:rRNA from 1 species